rnacentral:rRNA from 1 species
UGUGUAGGCGGUCCUCUAAGUUUGGUGUGAAAUCUCCCGGCUCAACUGGGAGGGUGCGCCGAAGACUGGAGGGCUAGAGUGCGGGAUGGGAGAGUGGAAUUCCUGGUGUAGCGGUGAAAUGCGUAGAUAUCAGGAGGAACACCUGUGGUGUAGACGGCUCUCUGGACCGCAACUGACGCUGAGACACGAAAGCUGGGUAGCAAACA